AUGGUUUGUAAACAAUAUUACCUCCGCUUUUAUUGCUUUGUCCCGGGUCAUACGUGCAAUCAUCAUCUCCAUAGAAUUCCUUUCUUUUUUUAUCAUCUUAUUUCUCUCUCGUUCUUGUUUGUUUUAUCAGAUAGUUCAUGGCCAAGACUCGAGAAUCAAGCGCAUUUUCAAGAUGUCUUGACGCUUUUAGUCAAAAUUUGUUGUACCUACCCAAUCCACCUGGCCAGAGCACAGGAAGGUAUAGUUUUUUUAACGAUUUUCUACUUACCCAUUUGUUUCUAAUUUUUUGCAUCAGCUUCAAAAUAUAAUUACUGAUUCUCACCAGAACUAUUCCCUGACGCCAAACUCGCUGUUCGGUACUUAAAUAGCCCCUCUCUCAUCUAUGAGGAACCCUUAUCUUUUUAUGAUUUGUGAUAAGAGUGAAUCAAGCAAAUACCCUACCAAUUGCUUUACCAUUAGUUCUUUUCUAUUCAGUUACUUAUCAGUGAUUACCAUGGCCAGAUUGAAUUUUAUUUCUCGUGAUGAGUAUUUUUAAUUCCAACUCAAGUAAUGAACUUGUUGUCUCGUAAUUUUCCUUUCAUCAUUUUCAACUUGAUCGCUGUUAUCUUUUGGAACUACUUAGUCAUUGGUCACGCAUCUGAUCAAAAACAUCUGGUACCUAUUUGCCUUAUUGUAGUUAUUUUUCUAUUUUUAAGUCCACGCUACCUUAGUUUUUAUUACUAUCCUUUUUGGCUGAUCUGAAUCUGUUGUUAUUCUAAAUACUGAAUCCUUUGGACGGAGAUAUUGUUUUCAUGCAUCUUGCAUGGCUCUAACCUCAAACUGGAAACUGCAGCUGUUACAUUCUUGCAUUUUUUAAUGAUGCGCUUAUCACAAUGUACUCUACUAUACCAUCUCUCAAAUUUUUCUUUGUCUUUUUAGGGCUAGACAACUCAAUUGAUGUACUUACAUCUCAAGUUAAUUAAUUGACUUCAUGAUGUGGAAAGUUUCAUCAUGAUAAAGAGUACUUACUUAUCAGAGAUUUGACAGGUUACUUACUGUUGUAAAGAUAAGGUUCCUCAGAAGUGAUAAUCAUAUUUUGAACACAGAUUCUACAAGAAUCGAAUCAUUUCAUAAUCCAAAAUCAUUGAUGUUGUCGGAAGUUUGUCAGCCAAAAACACUCAGUAUAGUUCUCCUCCAAGAGUGUGUUUUUUCGAAAAAACUACAUUACAAGAAUUAUUGAAUUUUAACUUUCAGGUGAGUUAAAUCACUGAUAGAGAAAGAUAAUAGAGAAAUUUCUAAUGUCGGAAAUGUAAAGAAAGUAAUGAACUUUCAAAGUUCCGUGAAUCAGCGAAAUUUGCUAUAGGUAACCCACGUCCCGUCAACCGUAUCUUGCCUGAGGAUUCCAAGAGAUUGAGCGAGACCCUUCGUCCUGCCUCUCGGAGCUGACGGCUCACUCCCCCCAGUAAGAGAAUAGUAUUCACCGACUUUUCGAAAACAUUAUUCCAAGGCUAAAGAUUCAAAAAGUGGUAAUAUAGGCACUUAAAGCAGGUGAUGGAGGACUCCUACCCAGGUGCUAUAGGUGAAAGGAGUUCGGCUCGUAGCCAGUAGCAAAUUAGGAACUGCACUUGCUUCAGGGAAAAGACGAUAAGGUUAUUGGUUUAAAAGGUUAGGGAAAAGCGCUUGAACAGAUGCAGACAGAUGGGAUUAGCCCUGUUAAAAAAAAAAAUAAAAAGAAAAAGAACAAUAAAACUUUGGUCAUUGGCAGAAAAUUAUAGCUGACUGUCUUAAACAGAACCCGACUUAUCCGGAGGUGAACCAGCUGUAUUAUGAACUAUAGCUGUAUGUUCUUACAGUAGUAAACAAUUUUGAAAGUUU
rnacentral:lncRNA from 1 species